rnacentral:misc_RNA from 1 species
AGAGAAUCCACCACCAUCUUCGACGGCUUCCCUUUCACGAAUAUCAGUGGCAAGAUCGCGAGGCAGAUCAGAGACGCCAUACUCACCAACAACGAGCAACCCAUCGCCCGUACCCAAAGCCCUAUAGUUGACAACUCCAGAUCUGGACUAUCAUCGUGAUCGUGGUGGUGGUGGUGGUGAUCGAACCCGUACAGCUCCAGAUCCUCCUCCUCCGCUAGCUCCUCCGGUAGCUUCGGCCGCCGGAUCUCAACAUGAUCGUCGUGGUGGUGGU